AUAAGCAGCCAUAUCACCCUGCAAUUCACACCUGGCAGCCCACUGAAUCUCAGCAGGUGUGAACCUGGUCAGUACCUGGAUGGGAGACCUCCUGGGAAAAACUGAGGUUGCUACUA
rnacentral:rRNA from 1 species